CUCCGCCCCCGGGCCGGCCCCGCUCCGCCCCGGGACACCCGCGGUGACACCCGGGACAGCCCGCGGUGACACCCUCACAACACGGGACACCCCGCGGUGACGCCCCUUCUCCGGGACACCCUCGCUGGUGUGACACCCUCCGCCCUGGAGACACCCUGGGCUGCCGUGUGACACCCGGCGCUGUCCCGCUGCUGCAGUGCCCCGGUAACACCGAGCAAACGCCGGGAGGAGCCGGGCCGGUUCAGCCCCUGCGAUGCGCAGGCACCAAGUUCAACCAACGGUAAUGAGAGGAAGACCUGCCGCCUUCAUCCCAAGACCACCUAAAAAGCAGAACCCACCCCCUAGCAACAGGACGGAGUCUGCGUAGAAAGAACUAAUGACGUCUAAAACAAGGAGGAGCCUACUGAAAAGGAGGAAAUGACAAAAUAUAUUUGAGGCGGACUCUAAACUCGCGGACCGUUGGUGGAGCGGAGAGUCCCCGGCCGCCCAGCGCUGCUUUGCUCAUUUGUCGUAAAUAAAUUUUAUCUAAAAUUUGGAAGAUUUUUGGUCUCUUUGACUAUAACGAUUUGGAUCCAGACCCUCUGUGCUGCGGGACUCCAUCUCCAGACGGUCCUGGAGAGGGCCUUUUGCGGUACAGACUCUGGAUAUCCGACCAAGAUCUAAGACGAAUGAGCAAAGGAAUACACUGCAGUUCCCCGUAAGAUCCGAACGACGACUCAGGAGUGAAUACAGCAAUCUGUACUGCCAAGAGAGGCUGGACUCAUGCAACUUGGGUCAAAGGACCAGUAGAACCACCUCCCACAGAAUGGGCUGUAACAUCUGAACUGAGAGGUCUCCGAAUGAAGAUAAAGAGGACAAGGCCAGCAAAUCAAUCAUCCCAGAAGGGAAGUAAGAAAUAGUUUAUAUCAAUGGUUCCAAAUACCUCCUGGAAACACUUUACGAGAGGUACAUUUUGCACCUUGGAGUAGAGAAAGGAUACCUGAUCAAACAGGAGGGGCUGGACUAUACAAGUUAAAGGGAACACCUCACAUCUUCCCUUUGUGUUGUGAAAUAGAAACAGAAGUAUCUGAGACCCCCAGAAUAGAAAACAUCUGGGGGAUACCUUGCAUAAAACACCCUACUUCUGGACAUUUAGGUUGGGUUGUUUGCAAAUGUUUACAGUGUAGUAAAGAGUGGUCCUGUGUUUCAGUUAAAAGACAACCUUAUUGUCUGCAAUGCCAAGAUAACCCGAUACCUACUAGGGGACAACGGGCUGAAAUCUGUAAAUUGUUUUGCCAAUUCCACCGGGACAAACUGGAAACUAAAUUACAAUUAGCAAAAAUGAGUAAAGUUCCAGUGAUCAUAAGUUUAAUAUAUAUAACACACGCAAUUGGAAGCGAAACACACCAGCCUUUUGAAUGGACCCUUGCCAGACAGGGCGACCAAAAAAUAAUUGGGCGAAAUCUUACAGCAGGACCUCCUAGCUUCUCUGUUACACUGUGCCAAAUGGUACCUCUACAACGUUGCUUAAACCAGAAGCCUUAUUAUUUUUGUCCUGCAUCUAAUCCAGGAAAGGGGUAUUGUAACUCUCGUGAUCAAUAUUAUUGUGCAUAUUGGAAGUGUGUCACUAUUGCUUCUGCCUGGGUCCCUGCUGUCCGAGAUAAAUACCUAACAACGACAUGGGGACCACCAGGCUGCAAGCAUCCACAAGUAGAUUCGUCUGGGGGAUCCAUAGGAUAUAGUAAUUGUACUCAUAUAAUCCUCCAGGUAAUGCAACCAGAAGACCCAGGAUGGCUAAUAGGAAAGACUUGGGGAGUCAGAUACUGGGAACCUGGAACAGAUAGAGGGGGUUUAAUUUUGAUUAGAAAAGGAAAACCUCAACAAGAACCCUAGCAGGUGGGACCAAAUAAGGUAUUGAAAGAUAGAAUAAUCAAAAAUAAUGUAACCGGUAACAUUACGGUCACAACCGAGAACAUUACAACCUCAGAACUUGUUGAGACUAAUCCUUUGUGGAAGGUAGUGCAAACUGCAUACCAAACUCUUAAUCAAACAAAUGCUACUCUAAGUUGUUAGUUGUGCUAUGAUGUAAGACCACCCUUAUAUGAAGGAAUAGGACUAAAUGUUACUUUUAACCUAAGUAAAGAGGACAAUCCCAGACAAUGUAAAUGGAAUGAAAAGAAAAUUGGGCUCACCAUGCAGCACAUUAGCGGACAUGGGACAUGCAUAGGAAAAGUACCUCUAGCCAGAGACAACUUAUGUGGCUCGAAAAAGCCGAGACUUAAUAAAACAAACAACAAGAGGGCUAUACCUGGCAAAAGGGGAUGGUGGAUAUGUUCAAAGACUGUUUUAACCCCCUGCUUGUCUUUACAAAUAUUUAAUGAAGGCAAGAAAUUUUGUAUACAGAUAACGGUAAUACCCCGAAUCCUUUACCAUUCAAAAGAAUCGGUCCUUGAACAUUGGGAUGGUAAUAAACACAGACUACAAAAACGAGAACCACUUACUGCCAUAACUAUUGCCAUGCUCCUUGGUCUGGGAACAGCAGGGGCAGCAACUGGAAUUACAUCCCUUGUCCAACAAAAUAAAGGCAAAGACAGGUAAUUUGCUGAUCAAAUAAAAUUUGUAAUGUUGUAGUCCACGAUUCACUUAGAUUGCAAAAUGUCAAACCGCAAUAUUAUGUUACCAUGGCAAGCUAUAUCCUAUGCUAGCUAUAAACCUUAAAUGUACUUAUAAGGAGGAAAUGCAUAGAGUUACAUAAGAAGGACAAAAUGCACAGGCGCAAGUACCAAGUUCAACCAACGGUAAUGAGAGGAAGAUCUGCUGCCUUCAUCCCAAGACCACCUAAAAAGAAGAACCUACCCCCUAGCAACAGGACGGAGUCUGCGUAGAAAGAACUAAUGACGUCUAAAACAAGGAGGAGCCUACUGAAAAAGGAGGAAAUGACAAAAUAUAUAUGAGGCGGACUCUAAACUCGCGGACCGUUGGUGGAGCGGAGAGUCCCCGGCCGCCCAGCGCUGCUUUGCUCA